UACGGAGGAUGCGAGCGUUAUCCGGAUUUAUUGGGUUUAAAGGGUGCGCAGGCGGCGUGUCAAGUCAGCGGUAAAAUGUCGGGGCUCAACCCCGGCCGGCCGUUGAAACUGGCGUGCUCGGGUUGGAGAGAAGUAUGCGGAAUGCGUGGUGUAGCGGUGAAAUGCAUAGAUAUCACGCAGAACUCCGAUUGCGAAGGCAGCAUACCGGCGCCCUACUGACGCUGAGGCACGAAAGCGUGGGUAUCGAACAGG
rnacentral:rRNA from 1 species